UUGCCCGCCAGGGGACUACAAGCACUAGCUUAAAACCCAAAGGACUUGGCGGUGCCUCAAACCCAUCUAGAGGAGCCUGUUCUAUAACUGAUAAUCCUCGUUAAACCUCACCACCCCUUGUUAACCCCGCCUAUAUACCGCCGUCGCCAGCCCACCUUGUGAAAGACAAAUAGUGAGCCUAAUGGGAACAUCCCAGAACGUCAGGUCGAGGUGUAGCGAAUGAGGUGGGAAGAAAUGGGCUACAUUUUCUGACCCCAGAAUACUACGGAAAAUGCCAUGAAACAUGGCAUACAGAAGGUGGAUUUAGCAGUAAAGAGAAAAUAGCGUGUUCUCUUGAAAUAGGCUCUGAGGCGCGUACAC
rnacentral:rRNA from 1 species